rnacentral:tRNA from 1 species
GCCGGGGUAGCUCAGUUGGUAGAGCAACGCAUUCGUAAUGCGUGGGUCGGGGGUUCGAUUCCCUUCCCCGGCACCA